rnacentral:miRNA from 1 species
UUGGUGACCCAGAAGAAGUUGA